AAAUUGUUAUUAAAUUUCUAUGAAUUACGCAAUAUCCAUUCUCUGAUCAUUAGACUAAACCUAAACUCUCUCCCAACCCAGAAAAUCCUCUACCCCUCUCCCUGAUUUAUUCGCUUCUUCACAAUUAUGUUCUCAAUUUCUGAGAUCUCUCUUCGUUAUUUGAUUCCUCAACUCUGUAAUUUCGCAAUUAGGUUUCGAUUGUAUUCAAACCAAGCUCUGGUGAAUCGACUCAAUUAGGUUCGAUUUUGUUCAAACCAAGCUCCGGCGAAUCGCCUCAAUUAGAUUUCGAUUCUGUUCAAACCAAGCUCCGGCGAAUCGCCUUAAUUAGGUUUCGAUUCUGUUCAAACCAAGCUCCGGCGAAUCGUCUGCCGCCGUGAACAACUCAAAAUCGCCUUCAAUCCGCUCUAUUACCAGAUCAGAACUGGUUUGCUCGAGAUAUAGUUCUAAGCGGCGUGUCUCGUUGACAAAGUAGAAUUUUCCGUUCGUCUUUUUCACUCGAAGAUUCAUACUUUAGUUUUCUCCUUAAGGUGGAAGAUGUCAUCGCAUAAUUGGCUACACCGCUGAUGAAUCUGGUGGGGCUGAAGACGGUUGAAAUGGCUGCCGAGGUCAGAUUCAGCACUAUAAUCAUUUUGUCGAUCGUUCACAUUCUCAGAUAUAUUAACCACCGCAAUUUCCAUCAAUUCUGAGCACAAGGGCUUGUUUUUGCUAUUUUUUUUUCCGUUUGCAUCCCACUUGAGCAAGGUAAGAUCAUUUUAGCUCGAUUGGAUUGCCUCGUAUUAUUAUUUGAGGUUGUCUCAUUUCCAUUUGCUCUGUUUUUUUGUCCAGAAUCUUUAAGAGGGGUGAACCACUCAAGCUUGUGUAUGGUGGCGAAUCUGAGAGAACCUUUGUUUAUAAUAAGUAUGCCAUUGAAAUUGUUCUUUUGAUGAUUGUAUGCUCUUACCUUGUCUCCCUAAUAUUUGUGUGUGAUAUUAAAAAUUUAGUAUGUAGAAGUUUGGUUAAGCAGUAUGGUUUUUCCCAGGAAAAUCCUGCCAGAGCUAAUGGUCAUAUAUUUAACCUGGACAAUCCUAACAGUUAAGUUACGGUCAAACAGCUUGACAAAAUGAUGACUCAGGUUUACACGAUGGUUAGUGGAGAGCCGCCUCCAAAGAUUUCUAUUGUGAAGGAUAAAUCGAUAGUAGUAGACAUGACAAUAAUCAACCGACAACAUGGAUAGGACCCAAAAGCAUCACUUUGGGACUUGCUUGAAUCAACUCUUACUAUACUUACCAACACAAGACAUAUGCCGAAGGGAGUGAUACAUAAAGGCUGAGUAACGAGAGCACAGGGCUCUAAUUCCAAUUACAAGCCAUGGAACAACAAUUGUGUGACGUGUUAUGGCAGUUUGAUGGAAUGUAUACGAGGGUGGAAUUCGGAGACGGUACAAUUCCUUCGGAAUUAGGGAAUUUGAAGUUGCUCAAUAUUCUCUUUCUGCAUAUGAAAUAUGAAUUGACUUUCAUGGCCAAUGCUGAAUGAAGUAAGUAACUUGACAAACCUCGUAAAUCUCGGUCUUUUAUACAUUAACACAAAAAAUCCCAUAUGAAUUCAUGAGCCUCAAGUAAGUCAAGCUUCUCAAACUGUUCAUGAACAGAUUGCAAGGCUCGACACCGGACUUUAUACGAUUAUUCCGAGCUGGAAACUCUCGGUCUUUGGAUGAACAAUUUCACCAGCACUAUCCCGAGCUUAAUUUGUAGCACCCAUGUAUUCUCUCAGACCUCUUAUCAAACAGCUUGUUCGCACCAUCAUGCAAUUGAAUCUUUCACCCUGA